UCCAUUAACUCUAGUAGGUAGAGGGCCUG
rnacentral:piRNA from 1 species